rnacentral:rRNA from 1 species
GUUGUUGGGUAGGGGAGCGUUCUGUAAGCCUGCGAAGGUGGCCUGUGAGGGUUGCUGGAGGUAUCAGAAGUGCGAAUGCUGACAUAAGUAACGAUAAAGCGGGUGAAAAGCCCGCUCGCCGGAAGACCAAGGGUUCCUGUCCAACGUUAAUCGGGGCAGGGUGAGUCGACCCCUAAGGCGAGGCCGAAAGGCGUAGUCGAUGGGAAACGGGUUAAUAUUCCCGUACUUGGUGUUACUGCGAAGGGGGGACGGAGAAGGCUAUGUUGGCCGGGCGACGGUUGUCCCGGUUUAAGCGUGUAGGUGUGUGUUCCAGGUAAAUCCGGUUCACUUUAACACUGAGGCGUGACGACGAGGCACUACGGUGCUGAAGCAACAAAUGCCCUGCUUCCAGGAAAAGCCUCUAAGCAUCAGGUAACAUCAAAUCGUACCCCAAACCGACACAGGUGGUCAGGUAGAGAAUACCAAGGCGCUUGAGAGAACUCGGGUGAAGGAACUAGGCAAAAUGGUGCCGUAACUUCGGGAGAAGGCACGCUGACACGUAGGUGAAGUGAUUUACUCAUGGAGCUGAAGUCAGUCGAAGAUACCAGCUGGCUGCAACUGUUUAUUAAAAACACAGCACUGUGCAAACACGAAAGUGGACGUAUACGGUGUGACGCCUGCCCGGUGCCGGAAGGUUAAUUGAUGGGGUCAGCGCAAGCGAAGCUCCUGAUCGAAGCCCCGGUAAACGGCGGCCGUAACUAUAACGGUCCUAAGGUAGCGAAAUUCCUUGUCGGGUAAGUUCCGACCUGCACGAAUGGCGUAAUGAUGGCCAGGCUGUCUCCACCCGAGACUCAGUGAAAUUGAACUCGCUGUGAAGAUGCAGUGUACCCGCGGCAAGACGGAAAGACCCCGUGAACCUUUACUAUAGCUUGACACUGAACAUUGAGCCUUGAUGUGUAGGAUAGGUGGGAGGCUUUGAAGUGUGGACGCCAGUCUGCAUGGAGCCGACCUUGAAAUACCACCCUUUAAUGUUUGAUGUUCUAACGUGGACCCGUUACCCGGGUUGCGGACAGUGUCUGGUGGGUAGUUUGACUGGGGCGGUCUCCUCCUAAAGAGUAACGGAGGAGCACGAAGGUUGGCUAAUCCUGGUCGGACAUCAGGAGGUUAGUGCAAUGGCAUAAGCCAGCUUGACUGCGAGCGUGACGGCGCGAGCAGGUGCGAAAGCAGGUCAUAGUGAUCCGGUGGUUCUGAAUGGAAGGGCCAUCGCUCAACGGAUAAAAGGUACUCCGGGGAUAACAGGCUGAUACCGCCCAAGAGUUCAUAUCGACGGCGGUGUUUGGCACCUCGAUGUCGGCUCAUCACAUCCUGGGGCUGAAGUAGGUCCCAAGGGUAUGGCUGUUCGCCAUUUAAAGUGGUACGCGAGCUGGGUUUAGAACGUCGUGAGACAGUUCGGUCCCUAUCUGCCGUGGGCGCUGGAGAACUGAGGGGGGCUGCUCCUAGUACGAGAGGACCGGAGUGGACGCAUCACUGGUGUUCGGGUUGUCAUGCCAAUGGCACUGCCCGGUAGCUAAAUGCGGAAGAGAUAAGUGCUGAAAGCAUCUAAGCACGAAACUUGCCCCGAGAUGAGUUCUCCCUGAGACUUAGAGUCUCCUGAAGGAACGUUGAAGACGACGACGUUGAUAGGCCGGGUGUGUAAGCGCAGCGAUGCGUUGAGCUAACCGGUACUAAUGAACCGUGAGGCUUAACCUUAC